AACGCACGAGACCUGCGGACCUGCGGAGGGAUCAUUACUGAGCGCGGGCCCCUCGCGGGUCCAACCUCCCACCCGUGUCUCUUGAAUACCCUGUUGCUUUGGCGGGCCCACCGGGAAACUCCCGGUCGCCGGGGGGCACUGCGCCCCCGGGCCCGCGCCCGCCAGAGCGCCUAUGAACCCUAAUGAAGAUGGACUGUCUGAGUCUGAGAUAUAAUUAUCAAAACUUUUAACAAUGGAUCU
rnacentral:misc_RNA from 1 species